AUGGCCGUGGUGUUGAGGGUGCUGGUUAUGUCCCCUGGCCCUAGUAAUGCUAGUGCUUCACAGAGGCAGGGUUUUGGUAUUGAUGUUGCUGUUUCAGCAUUGGAGCGCGCUGAGCAUAUCUUAAGUAAUGUGUGUUCUGAGCUGCAAAAGGUCCCAAUGACAGUUGAGCAUCUGAGAUGUAUCAAUGGUAUCCUUCCUGAAGGUCAUCAAUUUAAUGCUGAGGAAGCUAUUGACUACAUUGAGAUGGAGAGAAUUUUAAUCGAUGAUAUGCGUGACGGUGCCGCUGAUCUAGUUCAGAGCUCGGUUCGUCUGUUGAACAACAUGAAGCGUUUGAGAACUACGCAAAACUCUUGCUGCAAGCCAUAUGAAGAAAGUGCAAAUGUUGUUAUCAAGCAGUUUGAGCAGGAUGAGGCUGCUGCCACCGACUGCAGGGCUGGUGAUGGUACUGAGGCUAAUGUUUCUGAUCACAAAAUGAAUGAUGUUGGCUUGGAGCGUCCUGAUGUUGAUAUUGAUCAGGAUGAGGCUGCUGGCACCGACAGCAGGGCUGAUGAUGGUACUGAGGCUAAUGUUUCUGAUCAGCAUAUGAACGAUGUUGGCUUGCAGUAG
rnacentral:rRNA from 1 species